rnacentral:misc_RNA from 1 species
CUUUUUCUUGUUAAUUACUGUAAAGACAAUUGUAUGCAUAGCAGAUUCUCUUCAACCAAACCUCAAGGCUAAUUGCUUAUUUGCCCAGAAUCAGGAUUAGAAAAAGAAUAACAGAUAAAUAAAGCAUUCCUAGUUCAUUCCUCAAAUUAUUAGGGAAGAUCCAAAUAAUGCCCUUUCUAAGACCUACUUGAACGCACGAUUCAACAAGAAGCCGCUUCUGAUAGAUAGUAUGUCUCUAUGCAUCUUAACUGUCUAUUGAAUGUGUAUGCUCUACCAGAUGAAAUAUGUGCAUUCACAACAGUUCCUCUAUAAUGUAAUCGUUUAAGAGAAUUGUGUUCCUUUGACCAAAGACCAACUUCAUGAAGAUCACCUUCUUUCCAGCAUAUGUUGACAGUCACCCCACCACGUGCCUUCAACCCUUUGACACAACCAUUAGCCCAUUUAUCCCGAGGAAGAGCCGGGAGUAAGUACAAGUCCUUAACUGUACUCUGGACCAGCAUUUCUGCAAUUGCUGCUGAAAAACCAAAGUUGGCAUCAAUUUGAAAAGGAGGGUGUGCGGUGAACAAGUUACUAUAUAGACCUCCUUCAUAUUUACUUUCAUUUUCUGGAUCAACCAGGUCAAAUAGAUGCUUGACCAUUCGGUAUGCAUGCUCACUGUUGUGUAGACGUGCCCACAGAGCAGCUUUCCACAUGGUUGACCAUCCAGGACCUUCCUCUCCUCUUUUGAAAAGGGUAUAGUCAGCAGCUUUACAGAGGUCUGGAGUUUUCUCAACAGUUAUAGUAUGUCCUGGAAACAGGCCAAAGAGGUGAGACACAUGUCGAUGAUGAAUCUCUGGGUCCUCAAAAUCCUGAGCCCAUUCCAUAAUGGAACCAUCUCUGGCAAUUUUUGUCGGUAAAAGUCUUGGUUGAGCCUCUCGGACUUUUUGAACAAGUUCAUCCUCAUGUCUUCCCAAAACCUCUGCUGCAGAAACAAUUGCAGAGAAUACUUCUUUAAUGAUUGACAUGUCCAUGGUUGUUGAGUAGCUCACACUAGCAGGUUUACCGUCUGGAGCAAUAAACAUAUGUUCCGGGGAAGUUGAUGGAUUAGUUUCUAGAUAUCCUCCAGACCCUUCAAGCAACCAGUCCAACAGAAAUUUUGUACAUCCUUCCAACAAAGGGUAUGCCUUAUUUUUUAAAAAAAACUUUGUCCAUGGUGUAAGUAUAAUGCUCCCACAAGUGUGUACAAAGCCAGGCUCCACCCAUUGGCCACAAUGCCCACACAGCUUCACCUCUAUCUGGUGAUGUUUUAGCCCAUAUGUCUGACACUUGAUGAACCACCCAACCAUUUGCUUCAUAGUUAAUUUUUGCUGUCUUACUCCCAUUGAUUGAUAGAGAAGACGUGUAGUCAAACAAGGGUUCUUGACACUCACGAAGAUUGCAAGGAAGGGCCAGCCAAUAGUUCAUUUGCAGAUUAAUGUUCAGAUGUUGAGCACCAUCCCAUGGAGGCUCAAUGUCCUUAUUCCAUAUACCUUGCCACCUGAGUUCCAGGACGUGAAGAAGAAAUAAGCAAAUAUCGACCAUACUGGAAUAAAAGCUCCACCAAGGAUGGAUCUUCAUUAGUUUGAAAAGAUUUCACCCUUUCUGCAGUUGAAAUGGUUUCAUCUUCACUUCCCUUGAAGAAUGAAUUAAAUUUAAAAGCCAUGAGUUUCUUCAUAUCCAGAGGUCCAUUUCCUAAAUUGCUCUUUGAGCUUUUUGAAAGCUUAAGCGAGACACGAUGAAAGAGAUUCUGAUAAUCAUCCAAAUGACGCACAUAUAAAUCAUUAUAUGACAAAUUUCUUAUUAAAUUCAAAGCACUGAGGGACUCUGAAGUAGGAUCCUUCUUGGAAUCAUUAGGCUUAGUAAAUGGCCCAUCAAAUGAAGAUGAAGCUGCUAACAGUAAAACUACCCAGUCUGAACCUUCCACCUUCAAUUUCUUGCCAUCCAAAACAUGUAUCAUUCCUUUUCCUUCACUAAUUUGUAAAUUGAGAAUUGCAGUAAAAUGAAUUCCCUCAGGAUUUUCAUUGGCA